CACAAGCGGUGGAUGAUGUGGUUUAAUUCGAUGCAACGCGAAAACCUUACCACCUUUGACAUGUACGGAAGCCUUUAGAGAUAGAGGCGUGCUCGAAAGAGAGCCGUAACACAGGUGCUGCAUGGCUGUCGUCAGCUCGUGUCGUGAGAUGUUGGGUUAAGUCCCGCAACGAGCGCAACCCUUGUCAUUAGUUGCUACAUUCAGUUGGGCACUCUAAUGAGACUGCCGGUGACAAGCCGGAGGAAGGUGGGGAUGACGUCAAGUCCUCAUGGCCCUUAUAGGUGGGGCUACACACGUCAUACAAUGGCUGGUACAAAGGGUUGCCAACCCGCGAGGGGGAGCUAAUCCCAUAAAGCCAGUCGUAGUCCGGAUCGUAGUCUGCAACUCGACUACGUGAAGUCGGAAUCGCUAGUAAUCGUGGAUCAGAAUGUCACGGUGAAUACGUUCCCGGGUCUU
rnacentral:rRNA from 1 species